rnacentral:rRNA from 1 species
AGUGAACGCUGGCGGUAGGCCUAACACAUGCAAGUCGAACGGCAGCACAGUAAGAGCUUGCUCUUACGGGUGGCGAGUGGCGGACGGGUGAGGAAUACAUCGGAAUCUACUUUUUCGUGGGGGAUAACGUAGGGAAACUUACGCUAAUACCGCAUACGACCUACGGGUGAAAGCAGGGGUCUUCGGACCUUGCGCGAUUGAAUGAGCCGAUGUCGGAUUAGCUAGUUGGCGGGGUAAAGGCCCACCAAGGCGACGAUCCGUAGCUGGUCUGAGAGGAUGAUCAGCCACACUGGAACUGAGACACGGUCCAGACUCCUACGGGAGGCAGCAGUGGGGAAUAUUGGACAAUGGGCGCAAGCCUGAUCCAGCCAUACCGCGUGGGUGAAGAAGGCCUUCGGGUUGUAAAGCCCUUUUGUUGGGAAAGAAAAGCAGCAGGUUAAUACCCCGCUGUUCUGACGGUACCCAAAGAAUAAGCACCGGCUAACUUCGUG